ACAUCGGUAGCACAGUGGUUAGUGCAGUCUGCCAGAAACAGAAAUGCGCGGGUUCGAGCCCCGUCCGAUGUC
rnacentral:tRNA from 1 species